AUACUUAUCUGUCAGGGGAGACACCAUGAUCAGGCAGGUGGUUUUCCCAGGACAAGGCUCAUCCCCUGCACUCCGGGUGUGCUGACCCCUGCGACUUCUCCAAAUGCAGGAAAUUGGACUGCAUAAAUUUUAUUUUAUAUUUUAUUUUAUUUUAUUUUAUU
ensembl:snRNA U1 U1 spliceosomal RNA